CAGUCAGCAGAAGUAACUAAACACGUGAAUAAGUAAUAAUUAGGUGUCUGCCAAUAAGAAUGUAGAACAACCUGUUUGCUCUUCAUCAGCAGCACCUUGCUCUAAUGUUGCUGAAAAGUGUCGAUAUUAAGACGAGCUCACCAACAACCUCCAGCGUGCUCAAGGGAAAUAGAUACUUUUUUCAAAAUUGUAAAUGUUUACUAUUUGAAUGCACAUGUAUAUACAGUACGUGUAGUAUGUAUACUCUAUAUGUGGAACAGGAAGGUCUUCAGGAACCUGCCAGUCAGAGUUAAGGGUUGGCGUGGCGAUGCAACCUCUCUGACAACUUCAGUUUGAAAUGACAAGUUGACUGCAGCGUGUGGGACUAAACCUGGGACCUUUGACGCGCAUUCAGCUGCUGACGUAAAUGAAUGUUGUGGUGGACUGUGGGGAGGUCGAUUAACAAUUGACACUGGCCAAGGUGUGUCUCACUGCAGGUGGUCCUCUGGUGAUGGGCGUCUUGUCCUCUAAGACGUUGUCGUUGGAGCAGAGGUCGUCUCUUGGGAGCAGAUUGCUGGCGCCCUUGAGGAAGAGCAUAUGUCAGAGGAGACGCGAGAAGAUGUUGAAGCCACUCCUGAACCUGAAAGAUAAAAAGAAGGGACACUCACGAAACAAAGCGUCGGUGGCGACAUGGCUGAAAAAAGCCGUGGAC